GAUGAAGAACGUAGCGAAAUGCGAUAAGUAGUGUGAAUUGCAGAAUUCAGUGAAUCAUCGAAUCUUUGAACGCACAUUGCGCCCCUUGGUAUUCCAUGGGGCAUGCCUGUUCGAGCGUCAUUUGUACCCUCAAGCUUUGCUUGGUGUUGGGCGUCUUGUCGUAUUACGACUCGCCUUAAAUACAUUGGCAGCCGGCACUUUGGCCUAGGAGCGCAGCACAUUUUGCGAUCGUAGCCCGUUGUACUGGCGUCCAUCAAGAACAUUUACCACGUUGACCUCGGAUCAGGUAGGGAUACCCGCUGAACUUAAGCAUAUCAAUAAGCGGAGGA
rnacentral:misc_RNA from 1 species